rnacentral:lncRNA from 1 species
UUAAACAGGGGUGGGCGUGUAUCAGUCUGGAGUACUACGACCACAUCAUCAACACAAGACUCUGGUUCAAACUCAAACUCUGGUCAGUGUGUUCCAAGCAGCGAUCUUUUGCGUACCAUCUGUGUAAGUUAUUUACGUGUUCGUCCAAAAUUUAAAAGGUUGUGGUGAUAAGUAUGUUUAAAAGAUGAAGAUGGGAACUCGCCUCUUGAUCUCUGUGAAUCAGACUGGUCUUGGAUGUGAGAGAAGAAGGAUUCUGAUUGAGAUUUUGUAUUCUCUGAACUGUGUGUUCAAUGAAGGAACCUUAUUUUACUACCAUAGGACAACUGAUAUUUGUAAAGAAUAAUAAGAACAUAAACUAAAAUUUCAGUAUCAAAAUAUAAAAAUAAAGAAGAAUUACAGAGUCGAGAUAGUUAAUCUAUUUCCUUAAAUCUUUAAACGCCCCGUAGUGUGACGGUUUUAUGGCGCUCAGAUUCCCAAGAUACAAUUGCAGCAUUGUUUCUGUUUACCAUCACCGAAAAACAGAAUCUAUCGAAUCUAUUUAUGUGAUGUACUCUCAGACUCAAAAUAAAAAAAUACUAGCAUAACUAUUCUGAGUGGGAGAAAUGUUUCUUGAUUGUAUGAAUGUGUGUGUGUUUUCUAAAUGGCUCACAAACCUUUAUAUAGAAAUAUAAUGAGAAGCACAAGUUUCAUUUUUCAACACAAAAAUGAAACCUCCAUGGUGUACUAAUGGAGUUUUUAAUUCUUGUCAUUAUUAUGUGAAUUUAUUCUACAUUUUGACCAAGAAAUUAAAGAAUAAAAUUAUUAUUGUUUUGACCAAUUCAAACAAAAUAAUAUACUUUAAAAUGGAUUUCUUUUUUAUAUUUUAUCAAUAUAAAAGAUCAACAUAUAACAUCUCUUAAGAGUUUAGAAAAUUAAUCUACAACUUCUUUAGAUUUAAAUGAAUUAAAAGCAAUUUCAAAAAUUAUUACAAUUUUCUUGAAAAAUGUGUUUCAUUCUUAGAAAUUCACAUUUUACAUACAACUAUUUUCAUAGUUCUCUCAAGUUAAUUAAUAAAUCUAACUUGUAUGUUUUGGAUCUUUCCAAACACAUAUUUUGCUUUUUAGCAAAUAUACAUAUCAUUAUAAGAUAUUAUUUUGCCAUCAAAACCAUUAUAUGAUUAUUUUCAACCAUAUUGACUUUAUAAACUACAAUACACUUGUUAUUUUCAGUCAUAUUGGUCUGAAAAUUCUCUGUUUUUGCAUGGUCAAUCUUUUUACAAAUUGCAUUUAAGCAUUGAUGAAAUAUAAAUGUUUUUGAUUAAUAUCAACAAACAUUUUAUUUCCUAUGGCAAAUGAUUUAUAUGUGGUAGACCUCUCCCAAACUUAAUUUGGGGCAUCGACUCACAACCAUUUCCAUCCAUACAACUUGAUCUCUUAAAGAUCAAAAUGUUGUUUUAUAAUUAUGGUAUUACCAUACUUGAAACUUGAAUUUCUUUUUAUUUUCUCAUUGGUCACACAUGUCUUUAAUAAUUAAAUUAAAUUGUUUCAAAAAAUCUGAAACAGAAAUCAAAAACGUUAGCAUCUAUAUAUAUAUAAAAUUGUCUGCCUCUCUCCUAGGCCAUCCAGCUGGAAACUCGCUUUCUGAGGGCUUGACACGUGUCCGCUUUGUCUAAAACGCGCCGUAUCACUUAAAUUUUAAUAGAUCUGUGUUGGGCUUAAGUUUCGUUACUGGGCUUCAGUAUAAUUGCGAGAAAGCGGUCGGAGACAGGAAUUAGGGUCCGACGGUCGUCUUCUCCAAACUCAAAUGACGUUCCUGAUACCUUCAGCAGAGAAACGGAUCUGCCUUUAAUCCCAUUGAUUGGUGCCUCCACGAUGUGUCUUCAAUACGAUCCUUACGCUUCAGAGGCGGUGCGAUUUUUGCGUAUAAAUAGAUAUCACCCCUCUCAUCCUCAAUUCAUCCAGACAUCCCAACAGCUUUGACUUCAUGUUAUAAAUCGUGUGUAAUCAUCAUCUCAGUCUUCCUCUCCGAUUUGCAGAAUGGCCGCUCCUCUUCCACCGUUGAAGGCCAGGAAUAUCCGCCGUGGUGGAGAUCUCAUGGGAGUAGACAUACUCCUUCUUGAUUCUCAGGUUACUAAUUCAGCUCUGCUUUUUGUUCGUAGUGGAAUUGUUUUUGCGUUUAACUUCUAUCGCAACUUUUCCGUAAUGAAUCCAAUUUAUAAUUGUCAGUUUGUGUUUUUAUUCUCUGUUAUUGAUUUUCAUGAGUCUUUUGUCAGCUUUUGAUGAUUUUUGUGAAUUUUUUAAAUCAAACUCUUCAGUCAUAAGCUUUUUCCAUUUUUAGUGUUAUGGUUCUUCACAAGAAGAGAGAUCAAUUUUUUUUUUUUUGGUUCUGAUCUUCUUUUUUUCUGUUUCUGAAAUUUUAAUUUAAAAUUGAAUUAAUUUGACUGACGGUUACACGGCAGAUUGAUAUGUGAGUUUGAUAUUAUCCAAAGUCUUAGUUUUUUUUUUUUUACUUUGUGGUCUUCUUCUUCUUUUUUGAACCAGAACUUUGUCUUCUUUUUUUUACUUUGCCUUCUUAUGUUUGUGUGUUUAUAAGUUCUUGGUUGAUCUGUUCGAUUGGGGUUUGUUGGGAGGCCAGGAAUGUGAAGAAAAAUCUGAAACCGAAGAAGAUGAAGAACUGAGACUUAUAAAGAUUGUUUGUAAAAAAAUUGCAGUAAGCCCUUUUCAGAUCUUCAAUUGUUUUUCAGUGGUAUUUUUUCACAUUUGGUCAAUUCUCUUUUGAGCUUCUAAAAUAAAACAAAUAUUGUAUUAUUGUUGUCAAUGUGAAGUUUUUAACUCAGUUUAAUUGCGUACGUGUGUGGUAUGUCACUAGAGCAAGAUGGAGUGUGACAGAGCAAGCGGCGGAAGAGAACGACAAACGGCGGAGAGUAACACAGCACUCGGCAGUGAGCAACGCAGCACUCGGCGGAGAGAAACAAAGAAAGCGGCAGAGAGUAACUGAGAAAGUAGUGGAAGAGCAACAGAACAAUGGCGGAGAGCAAUGAACAAGAGGCAUUGAGAUGGAUCAAGUGACGGAAAGAGUGAGAUGGACAGACAUGAAACAAGCGACAGAUAGUGUGACAAGAGAUAGGAAAUGCAAUUGCUGCAGUUCAAUCUGGCACAAGGGAGGUUCAUAGGCUCUCGGACAGGGUCAAUUAAUCACUUUGUUAGCAAACAUAUAAAAAAGGUACAUGUCCAAUUGUGCUUAUUUCUUUCAAAGUAGAACCUAAUGAAAGAAAGUUGACACCUAUUGAAGAUAUCAAAGCUCUAAACAUGAAAACAUAAGAAAUUUCAAAUUCCUAACAACAUAUCAAAUCUGGAAUCUUCUUUGUAUUUGUUCAAAGUUUGUUAUAUGAAUCCUUCUUUGCAUGUGUUCUAUGUGGUUGUGCUUCGUUAUAAGUUGUCAAGCAUGUCUCUCCACAUGUUCAGUGCAUAUAUCUGUUUGAUAGGGUCAAACAAAUCAACUAUUUAAGGUCUGAAUGUAUCAUGGUACAGUUGUCGUUUCCUUGGAUUCAGACAAGAAAUAGCAAACAAACACACUGUGUGCAUAGCUUGGCGAUUGAAUUGGACUAAAUGGAAAGACUUUGGCCAGUGGAAGACCGAGGAACUAUCAAAAGAAAAAUACAUUGCAUUUUUAAAUAAUAAUAUUUUUAGCUUAAGCAUGUAUUAGAUAUAGCUCUGUAACUUUCAGUUUGUUUGUUUUUUACUUAAAAAGUAAUUUUUCUCUUUAUAUAUCACAGUUAGUGUACCAAAUAUUGAUGGAAGUUAGUUACAAAAUUAUAGACCAUGCUAGGUAUCUAUAAUAAUAAAGUUGGGUUAUGCUCUCACCACAGGCUUCCACGACAUCAAGGAGAGGGGUGCUUUUCGCGACACGUGGCGUCUCGGUAGGGUAUCCGUGUUUUUCACGCUCUCUCUUCCUUCUUGCUCUCACGCUCUCUCUUCCUCCUCGCGCGUGUCUGCGCGGUUGUUCAACCAAAGAGGUUGGGCUUCUGUCAUUAAUUUAGGCCCAAAUGUCAUUAGGUCUUCUUCUUCGUUGUUCUUCUUCUUCCCUACCUCUUUCACAGAAAGUAACGUCCCAAGGAUUUUUUCUAUGACAUUUAUUCUCAGUUUUUCCAUUUAUUAAUCCACUCCUCAUGUAUUAUGAUUACGAUCUACCUCUUCGUUCACCCUGUAACCGCCUCGACCUCCAUCUAUAAAUACCGGCCCUCACUUCCAUUCACAGCACAUCUCAAACAAUUUUCUCAGACAUACGAUCUCCUAGAAGCAACAUAUUCAGAUGGCGAAUUCGUACACUCUGCUUGCCAAUUUGAGAGCCGGCCGAUGCUCUAAUACUGCUGAGGUCCGCCUACUGAGGUUCUGGGAGGCCAGAAAUAUCAACAAAGGAGGGGAGCUGAUGAGUAUUGAGUUGCUGCUCAUCGAUGAGGCUGUAAGUGUUCUUCCCAGAUUUAAUCUCUGUUCAUAUUGUUAUUCAAAAAAAAAAAAUUGAAUUAUUUUACCCACUUCCAUCAAAAAGCGUUGAUCUUUUAGCCUGUUCUUCCCAGAUUUAAUCUCUUUGCAUAUUGUUAUUCCAAGAUUUUUUAGAAUUAUCUUACUCUCUUCCAUCAAAAAGCGUUGAUCUUUUACCAAUAAUCUUAACCUCUGUCUCUUUGCUUUUAUUUUAAACUGAUCCUGACAAAUUAUUUUCAAUAUUGAUCUGGUUUAAAGUUUUUUUUUGGGUGAAUGACUAUUUGUUGCUAUAUAUGUUUAACUAACAUCUCUAUAAAUGCCAUCAUGCAGGUGGACAGAUAGUCUCAUCCCUUCCAAUGCUUUCAGCCCCGAAGAUAUGGCCACAGAAGAACCGUGCGACAUUACGUGCAGAUUUUGUGAUGGGCUUCUUGCUAUUCAAGAUUACCCACAAGGGUUCCCGCGACCAGGUAAGGAUCAAUGCUUAGAUUAGGCGUUUUUAUUUUCCUUGCAGACACAUAUGUUAGUCUUCGUUUGUUAUUUUUUUAGUUUUUGUGACUGGUCAACCUAACAGUUUUAUGGUUAUGCAGAGAUAUCAACGGAAACGCAAAGAGUUCUGACAAGAGAGACGAUACAGAGAGCAUUUCAUGCUACAGAAGUAGGGUUAGCUUCUCAUUCUCUAAGCUGUGGAGUACAAUGCGAGUUUGGCAACUGUUGGCACUUGCUCUUUUGUUGGUGUGAUAUAUAAUAUAUCAUAUAUCAGAGUCCUCUUUUCAUGACGAGUCUUUGAGAUUAACGGGUUAUCUUAGGAAAGAACGGGAUCUGGUGGGAUCUCUGCUAUUCAGCUGUCGAGUGAACAUAAUGCUAACAAUGAGGAUGUUCGUUUUGAGCUUAAGGACUUGCAUCCUGAUGACCCGCAGAUCGUUGUGUUUAAGCAUGGAGUUGGCGAGUUAAGGGGAUCAUCCAAGUAGUUUCUCAUUCUCUCCAGCACUUGUAUUCUACUGUCAUAGAAGAAUAGGAUUCAAUGCUUAUGGAAAGAUGAUUCAAUGCCUUUCUCUUGAUACUUGGUUGUGGCUCAAGUUCUUGAUUUUGGUUAUAAUUUUGUUGUGAUGGUGCUUCUGCCUUCUCUGUGCUUUUAUGGACAGAGAUAAAUAAAAUUGUUUCUAUGUCUUUAUGUGGUUUGUCUUUGUUAGAAUUGAAAAUCAUUACAGAGGUUGCCUAUUACUUCGACUAAAAACAACUCUUUUGCAUAAUAUGCAUAUUUGGCGAGUAAUAAGGUAGUUUAUAAUUAGGGUUGCUAAUAAACAGUUGCAGUAAACAAGCUAAACUUACUUCCUGCCUUCUUUAUGAUGUGGAUACGUUAUGAUGUUCCCUUUCCCGUGUAGCUCUAAACUCAUAUGCUUAGUCUUCCUUCCACUUAAAUUUGCAGCCAAACAUCCUUUCACUUAAAGAUCACUCUGAAGCUUCUGAUGGCAUUUACUGUAAGAACUGAGCUCUUUGUUCUUUCUGCGCCUGAUAAGAGUUUUUCCUUGGAUCACUAUGUUAUGUUAUAGAACGUAUUGCCUUUUCCUUUUACCUCUCCACAUACAUAAACAACCGAGAUAAACAGGAAAAUCGGAACGUAAAGAUAUGUUUGCAAGCACCAUUAAAUGCAUGUUGUAAUUGGUGAUAUGGCUUCAAAAGGUUUUAAGAAAAUCCUAAAGUCUUGAUUUUUAUCCAAUUUAUUGAUUUAAAAGUCUUUUAACCCUUUUAAAAACACUCAAAACCACUUUUCCUUUUUUUUUGUUCAGUGAAGGAUGCUUAUUUUUUCUAAAGCCUAUAAAAGCUGGUUUUUAUUUAAAUUUUUUUUCAAAAUCAUUAAAUUUUCUAUAACUUUUAUAAACAAUAGUUCAGUUCAAAAAAAUGUGUUCUCUCUCAAUAUUUGUUUUUAAUUCUUCUUUAAAUUGUUGAGAUGUCUAACGAUGGAAAAGCUCUUAGAAUACCCUUAUCGGAGCAGAAUUUUAAAUAGAGUUCUUAGACAAUUUACGAUAUUAUUUUAAUGCAAAAUUUUUGGAUGAAAAUGAUUUUUUUUUGUCAGAAAUUCAAAUAAUGUAAAUAAUCUUUCCUAGCGAUAAUUGAAUCUUAAUGGAGGAAAAACUGUUAAUUUUAAUGUUAAUUUGUUAUGUAAUUAGUUUUUAUAUAUGAUAAGUUAACCGAAGAAUAACACAUGUAGCUUUUUUAUAAAGUAUAGCACAUGUAGCUAUAGUAUCUGGAAAUACUAAGCUAAGCUUAACCAUUUCAAUAGAAAACUGAACUUCUAUAUUCUACGGUCAAAUAAAAUAUUUAUCCAAUAAAACCAAAACUUACAUAUCUUAAUAUGUUUUAAUCAAUCAAAAUUAAUUUACAAGAAGAUUUCUGAAAAAUCCAAAUAUAUAUCAAAGAACACUUUAAAUCUAUGUAGUGAAGUGUAUAUUAGAAUACCUUACCAUCAAAUAUAUAUAUAAAAUCUAUGUCAUAUUUCAAUACAUUUUAUUAUGUUUAAGUUAUGGAAAAAUAUCAAAGAAAGUCUAUAGAUAAUGAUUUUGAGAUAAUAUAAAAUAUGAACGAUUAAUUUUUUGUAUAAAUUAGCUCUGGUGUGUUUGUUUUUAGGGUUCACUGAAUUUUGAUUUGGACUUCAAUCCUAAUAAACGCUUAGUUAUAAAUUAAAACUAUUACAAAAAAUAUUUAUGUGUUUCAUUUUGAAUAAAUUUGUUGUCUUGGUUCGAACAAGAUGAUCACAAAACAAACAACUACAUUUAUGUGUUUCAUUUUGAAACAUCAUUAAACUAUAUUUACUUUAGUGCAACUAUCAACUAUUUAUUAUAUUUUAUUUCAUUAAUUUAUAAAAUCUAUUUAUACUAUUCAUUUUUGACCUAAGCAACUAUAAAACAAAGUAAUACACUAUUAAUUACCACUAUCAAAUGGAUCACAAACUCAUUAUCCAAUCAUUAGGGAACAAAAUAUACAAACCCGGCGCGUAGCGCCGGAAUACCACUAGUAAUAGAUAUAAAGCGAGGAUGCAAGUAAUGGUUGUUUUUCUACCAUCUGAAUUGAUUACAAUUAAAAUAUUUAUUGUUUUGGAAAUGAACGACAUAAUAAUUGUUGUAUUGCAGCUGAGUUUCAAAAUUAUAGUAGCAAAUAGAGAUUCUAAGAUGUCAUCCCCAUCUGCAGAAACUAAUAAUGUCCAAAACAUCCAAUAAUAGUUUUCUCCAGUUUAAAAAAUAGAGCAUUUACACUGAAAAAAAUGUUCUCUGGAAUAUUGAACUUUUGAGAUUCUAGCGUAAUAUAUGUAUAAUUCAAAAAUAUAUCAUAAGUUAGAUCGUAUGUUAUGUGUGGUCAUGCUAAUUUUGUACUUAUUGACUAUAAAAUGCAUUUUAUUCAUGAAUGGUUAACGUUAACAACUGUAUUUGGGACAUGAAAAAAAAUACAAUAGUGUUGUACUUAAUAGAAAACGACAAUAAUUUCACAAAUAAUCCAUUUAUAAUUAAGCAUGAAAAACAGAUUUUGAACAAAAAAAUUAUUUGAUCAUGUAAACUGACGAAUUUGAUCACAACUAAAUGCAAAACAAAUACACAAAGUAAAUGCAUUAAAAGCUUUUUUAAAAUAAAGCCACAAGAACAAACGCUCCACACUUGCUAAUAUAUGCAAGAUCAAACGCUUGAAUUUUGAUAAAAAUCAGUCGUAUAAGCAUGGCUAAACCAAAAGUAAAGCAAAAUUAGAUCAUACAAGUCACACUUUUGUUUCAAAAUAAUUUUAAAAAUCAAGCGAAAGUGCAACACGACGGUUUCAACACGUCAAAAGACAAAUCAAAUCAAAUCAAAUUGUUUUUUUUUUCCAGAAAAUCUGUAACUAAUGAUCAACGCUUGAUGAUAAAGAAGAUUCACAGAAAAACAAUAGCUAAGAUUAUUACAAAAGAUCCCUGCGCAUGAUCGAUCUGAAAAGAUCAUAACAAUUGCUUUUUCAUCACCAUGAAUUCUCGAAUUCCUGUUUUUAUGAUAAACAAGAUCAGAUUCCGGCAUCUUUAACCUGUUCUUAAAAAUAAAAUUUUUUUUUUAACAAAUAUCAGUAUUGUUAGUGCAAAAGCAUAAACAAUAUUUAAAGAUUUAAGAGAUUUAAGAGUGUAGGAACCUUAUUUUACUACCAUAGGACAACUGAUAUUUGUAAAAAAUAAUAAGAACAUAAACUAAAAUUUCAGUACCAAAAUAUAAAAAUAAAGAAGAAUUGCAGAGUUGAGAUAGUUAAUCUCUUUCCUUAAAUCUUUAAACGCCUCAUAGUGUGACGGUUUUAUGGCGCUCAGAUUCCCAAGAUACAACUGCAGCAUUGUUUCUGUUUACCAUCACCGAAAAACAGAAUCUAUCGAACCUAUUUUUCUGAUGUACUCUCAGACUCAAAAUAAAAAAAUACUAGCAUAACUAUUCUGAGUUGAAGAAAUGUUUCUUGAUUGUAUGAAUGUGUUUUUGUUUUCUAAAUGGCUCACAAGCCUUUAUAUAGAAAUAUAAUGAGAAGCACAAGUUUCAUUUUUCAACACAAAAAUGAAACUUCCAUGGUGCACUAAUGGAGUUUUUAAUUCUUGUCAUUAUUAUGUAAAUUUAUUCUACAUUUUGACCAAGAAAUUAAAAAAUAAAAUUAUUAUUGUUUUGACCAAUUCAAACAAAAUAAUAUACUUUAAAAUGGAUUUCUUUUUUUAUAUUUUAUCAAUAUAAAAGAUCAACAUAUAUUUGGUUUAUAAGAUUAAGUCAAUGAACAUGAAGUCCAACUAACAAAUCAAAAAACCCAAAUCCAAGUUCAAAUAUCCAAUGUGUGUAUUUGCUACUUUAUAUAAGUUUCUCAAAUCACACACAUUAGACCUCCAUUUCUCAUUCAAAUAAAACUUCUUUUUUGACAUAUGAAUACAUUAUUCAUAAUGUUCAAAAAAUAGUUCCAACAUUCAAUGUCUUAAAAUAGAGAUGUUUCGUAUACCUUUUAUGCUGUAUAUAAAAACCAUAACAAUAUUCAACCAAAUAAAAAUGAUUUGCAUCUAAGAAAAGUGUACGCAAUGAUUUACGUGAAAAAUGUUCG